UAUGUAUGUAUUUGUAUUGUAGAAUGGUAUAGAGCAAAAGAAAAGGAAUGGAUUUGAUUAGUGCAGUACAUUUUCCAAAUGGCGCAUGUACCGCUCAGCUGGAAAAUAUUCAUUUGCGCGAAGUAAUAGAGAAUGCAUUUUUAUUUGGCGACUUUUUAUAGUAUUAACAAAGUGGUGGACACUGUCUCGGUGAUUCUAUAGGAAACGGCGUCUUUGUAGCACCUGCCGUUGGACCCUCCUAAACUCGAGACAAUCGCUGCUGUCACAUCAGACACACAACCGUACCUCUUUGAUCUGUCAACAAAUAAAUUUUGCCUUUUGUACACCACAAAUACUUAUUUUAAGAUAUUGUGAUUUUACCUUUCAUUGUGCAAGUACAUGGAAUUUAAUUACAAGUGCACGCUCGCCAUUAUAGACAGAAAAAAACUUUCAAAUAAAAAAUGGAAUUUUUAUUAGCAAUAGUGGCUGUGACGUUAUCACAUUUUUGCUGCAUGUAAUCAAAGAUGAAUGAUUUUUUGAUUUAAUGAGCAACGAUCAAGAGAGCAGGGUAAAGACUGUGUAGCGAUAGCUUUAGAACUGAAAACCAUGGAGGCUGUACGAGACGAGGACCGAGCCAGACGUCUGCGAGCUCUUGAAGAUCGCAUAAAAGAUCCUCGCAGUAAUGCAAAUAUUGAUUGUUUAUUAGAUACCGUACAGGCUCUUGUAGCAGACUGUGAUCACCCUAGCGUAAAGCGCAUGAAAAACAUUGAGACAUUCAUGAACAGAUAUGACACGGUUGCUCAAGAAAUUCAUAAAAUGCGAAUGCGAACAGAUGACUUCAAUUUGAUAAAAGUUAUUGGUCGUGGAGCAUUUGGUGAAGUACAGUUAGUCAGACACAAAUCCACUCAAAAAGUUUUUGCUAUGAAGAUUCUCAGCAAAUUUGAAAUGAUAAAACGAUCUGAUUCGGCUUUCUUUUGGGAGGAAAGAGAUAUAAUGGCUCACGCAAAUUCUGAAUGGAUUGUUCAACUGCAUUUUGCCUUCCAAGAUCACAAAUAUCUUUAUAUGGUUAUGGAUUAUAUGCCAGGUGGUGAUUUAGUAAACAUGAUGUCUAAUUAUGAUGUGCCAGAGAAGUGGGCACAAUUCUAUUGUGCAGAAGUGGUACUCGCGCUGGAUGCGAUACAUAAUAUGGGGUUCGUUCAUAGAGACGUUAAACCAGACAAUAUGCUUCUUGAUAAGCAAGGUCACUUGAAACUAGCAGACUUUGGUACAUGUAUGCGAAUGGAUGCUGACGGUUUAGUACGCUCCGAUACUGCAGUAGGUACACCCGAUUAUAUAUCACCCGAAGUACUUCAGUCGCAAGGUGGAGAAGGCGUGUAUGGUCGCGAAUGCGAUUGGUGGUCGGUUGGAGUUUUUCUUUAUGAAAUGUUAGUUGGUGACACUCCUUUUUAUGCAGACUCGCUAGUGGGAACUUAUUCAAAAAUUAUGGAUCAUCGGAAUUCUCUUCAUUUUCACGCAGACGUCGACAUAACUCCAGCAGCUAAGAGUCUCAUUUGUGGAUUCCUUACUGAUAGGACAAGGCGUUUAGGUAGCAAUGGAGUCGAUGAAAUUAAGAAUCAUCCAUUCUUUAAAAAUGAUCAAUGGACUUUUGACACUUUGAGAGAAAGUGUCCCACCAGUGGUGCCAGAAUUGUCAGGUGACGAUGACACGAGUAAUUUUGAUGACUUGGAAAAGGAAGACGGUCCAGAAGAGAGUUUCCCCAUUCCGAAAGCAUUUUCGGGAAAUCAUUUACCAUUUAUUGGAUUUACUUACUCGGGAGAUUAUCAGUUAAUGGUUAAUAACAGUAGAGAAUCAGUCGAUGGUCUUGAGAAUCAUAUCAACAAUGGUAUCAGUGAUGAAGGGAGAAUAGCACAGUUAGAAAAUUUACUCGAACGAGAGAGACGGCAGAUGGAAAAUUUAGAAAUAAGACAUCGAACUUUAACAGCUCAAUUGGAGGCACUUACUGAGCGAGAAGCUCAACUCAGAGAGGAGGCAGGUAGAGCUGAUAAGGAAUUGGCACUUUUAAGACAUAGUCAUAAAGAAGCACAACGACGUGUUGAACAGGAAGCGGAUGUUCGUAGAAAAGCAGAGGCGUUACUUAUGGAGUUGAAGAAAAAAUUCGACGAGGAGCAAACGAGGAGAGUGAGGGAUGCAAGCAAUUCACAACAAACGUCUGAACGCAUCACUAGUUUAGAGAAACAGGUUAAAGAGAUGCAAGCGAAACUUGAAAGAGAAACAGAAACGGUGAGCAGGUUGCGAAAACAAUCAACAGAAGUAACUGUCGCUCGACAAGCGGCAGAACAAAUGGCCAAUGAAUUACAAAUGGCUAGAACUCAAUUACAGGCGCAAAGGGAUUCCUUACAACAAGAAGUUGCAGCCUUACAGGGUCAAUUGUCAAAAGAAAGAAGUUCCCGGUCUCAAGCAUCUUCCUUCACUGCCGAACUGGAAACAAAACUUUCGGCUUUACAUCAGGAACUUGAACACAGUCGUGAAAGAGAAGGAAAAGCUACUUUAGAUAACAGGCAACUGAACGAAAGGAUUUCAGAACUAGAAAAAGAGGCAGCUACCUUAACUCUUGAAUUGAAAGCAGCACAAGCUAGAUAUGAUCAAGAAGUCGUAGCUCAUCAGGAGACAGAAAGGUCGAGAAUGCUCUCAAAAGAAGAAGCUAAUCUCGAAGUUGUUAAAGCUCUGCAAGCAAAAUUAAAUGAAGAAAAGUGCGGUAGGCAACGAGCAGAAUCUCUCGCUCAAGAAAAAGAACGCCAAACUUCCAUGUUAUCUGUGGACUAUCGGCAAAUUCAGCAACGUUUACAGAAACUUGAAGGCGAACAUCGACAAGAAGUGGAGAAAGUCAAAGUACUGCAAGGUCAAGCAGACCAGGAACAACAGAAGAGGAACAAUUUACAAACAGAAUUAGCUCAACAAUCGUCUGAAGCUGGACGAUUACGAGCUCGAGAACAACAAUUGAUGGAUGAGGUUGCGCAGUUAAGAGAAUCAAAACGACAAAUCGAGGAAGAAUUACACCAUUUGAAAACCCAAAGAAACGUCGAUCAACUUCAAAUGAAAGAACUUCAAGAACAACUGGAAGCUGAAGCAUAUUUCUCGACUUUAUAUAAAACACAGACCCAAGAGCUCCGUGAAGAGCUUGAUGAUAAAACCAGAUCACAUCAAGAACUAGAAGAAGAACGAAAUUCAUUUUGUCAUCAACUCGAACUUGCUCUUGCUAGAGGAGAUGCUGAAGCUUUAGCAAGAUCAAUUGCUGAAGAAACAGUGGCUGAUUUAGAAAAAGAAAGGACUAUGAAAGAAUUAGAAUUUAAAGACAGUAUAGCCAAACAUCAUCAAGAAUUAAAUGCAAAAGAGCAAAUGGUCAAUAGAUUAAAGGAUAAUGAAUUAGAAAUGAAGAAAACAGUAGAUCAAUAUUUAAAAGAGAAGGAAGACUUAAAUAAACGUUACAAAGAAAUUCAGGACCAACUCAACAAAGAACAAUCAAAUGUCGAUGAAAUUGAAAGACUAAGCAGCAAACUGAAGACAGAACAGCUUCUCAAGUUACAAGCUGUAAAUAAAUUGGCAGAAAUAGUGAAUCGAAAAGAUUUGUCAAUUGGUGGAAAGACGAAAAAUAAAGCAUCUUCUGCGGAUUUAAGGAAAAAAGAAAAAGAAUGUCGAAGGCUUCAACAAGAACUCACGCAAGAAAGAGAGAAAUACGGGCAAUUGGCUGCUAAAUGGCAAAAAGAUCUCCAGGAUUUGCAAGCACAACUUGUUGAAGAAAAUCAGUCCAAGUUGAAGCUUCAAAUGGAACUUGAUUCGAAGGACUCUGAAAUAGAAACACUUCAAAUGAAAAUAACGUCCAUUAAUUCAGAGACGGCUAGCGUUUCGUCUGUAGAAAACGAUGGAGAAGACUCGGUUUUGUCCGAGCAUGGUGCCAUGAGAUUAGAGGGUUGGUUAAAUAUUCCCAAUAAGCAAAACAUUAAAAGACACGGUUGGAAGAAACAAUACGUCGUUGUGUCAUCGAAGAAAAUUAUUUUUUAUAAUAGUGAAAGCGACAAAAUUAAUGCUGAUCCUGUUUUGAUAUUGGAUUUGAGUAAAGUUUUUCAUGUUAGAUCUGUUACUCAAGAAGACGUGAUUCGAGCCGAUGCCAAAGAUAUUCCUAGGAUAUUUCAGUUGUUAUAUGCUGGUGAAGGCGAAGCAAGACGCCCUGGUGACGAAGGUAAUUCUUUGCCAGGAGUGGAACUUCCUCAAUUGACUGAUAAAUCGAUUCCUCAACCACUUAAAGGCCAUGAAUUUAUUUCCAUUUCCUAUCACAUGCCAACGACUUGUGAAGUAUGUUCAAAGCAAUUGUGGCAUAUGUUUCGUCCACCACCUGCUCUUGAGUGUAGAAGAUGUCAUAUAAAAGUUCAUAAGGAGCAUUUAGAUAAAAAAGAAAACGCCAUAGCUCCGUGCAAAUUGCAUUAUGAUCCUAAUAGCGCUCGAGAAUUAUUGGUUCUCGCGGGAAGUCCUGAUGAUCAGAAAUAUUGGGUAACACGAUUAUCGAGAAGAAUUCAAAAGUAUGGAUACAAAGCAAAUUCACACAUGGAUGGAGCAGGACAACGUGUUUCACCAAGGUAGCGUAGCAGAGCAGCUCAACUGGGAACUAAAUUGCUCUUUUGUGUUGUGUCAUCGCAUGAUUGGGUGUAGAGAGAGAAUCUACGAGGUCAACGCUCAAGCCUUAUUUGUCAGUACAACAAAGAUCUGCUACAUUACCUGCGAAUGCGAGUAUGGGCAAGUGACUGCCAUUAAUUCGAUGACAUUUUUUAGUGUCGUCACUCAUGUGUCAAUAAAACGACAAACUUUUGUUUGUUGACUACAAUGCCCAAUCAAAUCAGAUAAUCGUAAUUUAUCUACUACUGUGCCACGUAUGUGAUUUUUCACUUGAGAAUUAUUGCAAAAUCUGUAAAAAUGUAAUCUUUUCCAUAAUAUUUUUACACUUUUCGUACGAACGUUUACUAAAUAACUUUUAUAGCUGAAAAGUAGUCUUGUAUUUUUGUCAUAAUUAUAUUUUUUCAUCAAGACAAAUACACCUGAGCUCAUGUUUGCAUAAAUCGCAUAAAUUUUUUCACUUCAUCGUUCAAAUUAUUGAAUGUUUAAGACAGCUAUUUUUCUAUUCGUUUUAUAUAAAUAAUGAUCUUUCUAAAAGGUAUACAGAUAAAAGAAUAGGCUGUACAAUAAUUUUAGAAUUCUUAUCCUUUCAAAAGUAAUCCACAUAUGUGCUUUAACUAGUGAUUUUAAUGCAUUUGUAAAAUUGGGGAAAAAGAUUUUCAUUUACAAAACUUGAGGGUCGACAUAUAUUUUUUUAAUGGUUUAAUCGUGCAAAUAGACGUAUAGUUUGCAAAAUAUGUACGAAAACGGAAAAAUACAAUACUUUUGCUUACUAUUUGUACUUAUCAAAAAUAAUUCAUGUUACAAUAUUAUUGAAUAAAUACUAUUUUUGCGCUUAGUAAUGUACUGAACAAUAUAUUAUCAAACAAGAACUUUAAAAAUUGUAAAUACAAUUGAAAUUUCACAAAAAAUUGAAUACACAAGAACAAACAAAUAAACAAUCAAAUUUGAUUUAUCUUAAUUUCUAGAAAAAUUUUAAUAUUGUUAUAAACAAUAAUUUGUGUGUACAUAUGUAUUUUCACACUUCGAAUUGUAACUUAAUCAAUGUGUUAAUUAACUAUGUAAAAAUGAAGUUAAUUAAAGACACAAAGCCGAAAUAAAUUUCUGUUAACACUUUAAAACAGAAAAAACUAUUAAUUGUUUUUACAAAAUAAUGAAAUUAGUACAUUACUUUUGUGCAGAGAGCGUACGAUUUUCAGAUGACACAAAUUGAAAGAAUAUUUAUUUUUUUUCAUACGAAUUUGCUAUUGGAAGAAAAUUUUAUGAAUUAUUUGGGAGAAGAAACAUCUGAUCGUGAGCUUUGUAUAGUAAGAAUAAUUUAUAAUCUAAUCUUUAAAGAUUUACAUUAAUAUAUAAUAAUAAUAAUAAUGAUAAUAAUAGUAAUAGUAAAAUUUAUAAUAUUUGAGAAGAGCUGUAAUUAUUCAAAGAAUCUCUGAAUUUCAUGAGUAAGGUUUAACUUGGGCCAAAUUCAGUAAUCAAUAACUGUCUUAUCUGUUUAUAUCUCAAUCACUGGUGCUUCCUUUCGAGGAUAAGACAUAUACAUGCUGUUAAUCCUAAGUCGAACAUACGUAAUUGUUUUCGACAGUUUUUAUAUCACAUAACUUUUAAGAAAAGAGUAGAAAGUACGUAUCUUUUCUUGCGUUUUGUGAAGCUUGCAAAAAGCGCUUUAAAGGAUACGUACUUUUUUUUAAAAAAAAAAAAAAAAAAAAAAGUUUUGCUAUUUCCAAACUGUACAAAACGCAAAUAUACUUAUGUAUUCAACUUUGGAUGAACAAUUACAAUUUUAAUGUGAAAUGUUUACUGAUUAUAAUGUGCCUUUUCCUGUUUGUUUCUUAUUGAAAAUUAAAAAUGUCAGUUCAUUGGAACUUGCUAAGUAUAGUACAUAUACAGACGAAAAAGAGAGAGAAUUAUAGUGAAUUUGUUGCUACAUGUUAUGGUUUAGUCAUUUACAACUUGUAUAUUUAUAAUAUUACGAUUAAAACUAUUUUGUAGAUAAUAUAUCAAA